rnacentral:rRNA from 1 species
AUUCCAGCUCCAAUGGCGUAUAUUAAAGUUGUUGCAGUUAAAAGGCUCGUAGUUGGAUUUCUGGCAGGAGCGACCGGUCGGCCCAUUGUGGUGUGUACUAGUGUUGCAUCUGGCCAUAUUUGUGGAGAGCGUGUGUGGCAUUAAUUUGUCGUGCUCGGGACCCGCAUCGUUUACUGUGAGAAAAUUAGAGUGUUCAAAGCAGGCUUAUGCCUUGGAUAUGUUAGCAUGGAAUAAUAAGAUAAGACUUUGGCGGUCUAUUUUGUUGGUUUGCACGCCAUUGUAAUGAUUGAUAGGGACAGUUGGGGGUAUUCAUAUUUAAUUGUCAGAGGUGAAAUUCUUGGAUUUAUGAAAGAUGAACUACUGCGAAAGCAUUUACCAAGGAUGUUUUCAUCA